AGCAGCCGCGGUAAUUCCAGCUCCAAUUAGUUGAAUUUCGGGAUCAGUACGCUAGUCGUCCUUCGGUACGUACUGGUGUUGCUGAUUCCUACCUUCUGACGAACCGUUGUGUCAUUAAUUGGUGUGGCAGGAAAUCAGGACUGUUACUUUGAAAAAUUAGAGUGUUUAAAGCAGGCUGCGCUUGAAUACAUUAGCAUGGAAUAAUGAA
rnacentral:rRNA from 1 species